UACGUAGGGUGCGAGCGUUGUCCGGAAUUAUUGGGCGUAAAGAGCUUGUAGGCGGUUUGUCGCGUCUGCUGUGAAAAUCCGGGGCUCAACCCCGGACUUGCAGUGGGUACGGGCAGGCUAGAGUGUGGUAGGGGAGACUGGAAUUCCUGGUGUAGCGGUGGAAUGCGCAGACAUCAGGAGGAACACCGAUGGCGAAGGCAGGUCUCUGGGCCACUACUGACGCUGAGAAGCGAAAGCAUGGGGAGCGAACAGG
rnacentral:rRNA from 1 species